ensembl:lncRNA
AAAGGGAAAUGGAGUGUGCGCAUGCGCACUGCCCAAUCAGAGCAUGCGGCAGGAGCAUUUAUCAGUUCCCGACAUUCCAGAAGGUCUUCCGUUGUUUUUGUGGAUUAAUCGGAUUUUAUUCUUCACCAUGCGCGCGAUCAUGAAGCUCCUCAUCUGCUGUGUGUUCAUGCUGUUCCUGGUGAACGUAGUUCCAGCUGCAGGUUCUACCACAGAACUCCUGUCAUGCUGCUUUCAGCAGCUUGGUAAUAGAUCAGUGGUGUACAUACUGAACAACACCGUGGAGUCCGAUUUCACACAGUGGACCAGAAACGUGAGCACAACCGAGCUGUAUCAUAUCACAUCACUGUAUCACAUCACUGUAUCACAUCACUGUAUCACAUCUGUUUCAUAUCACUGUAUCACAUCACUGUAUCACAUCACUGUAUCACAUCACUGUAUCACAUCUCUGUUUCAUAUCACUGUUUCACAUCACUGUUUCACAUCACUGUAUCACAUCACUGUAUCACAUCACUGUAUCACAUCUCUGUUUCAUAUCACUGUUUCACAUCACUGUUUCACAUCACUGUUUCACAUCACUGUAUCACAUCACUGUAUCACAUCACUGAUUCAUAUCACUGUAUCAUAUCAAUACUUUUUAUUAUACAUAAAGAAGAACUAACCCUGCCCCCUUCCCUUAAGUCCCACUGCUAAUGUUUAAAGGCUGAAUUAUAGCAAAAAACAGGAUGUGAUGUGGAUGAUAAUUAGAUAUUUUUAAAUGUGUAAAUAUGGAAUGUCACUGCUUUUAACACUAUUUCUAAUUCUCAAAGGAAAUUAUAAGCCUUAACUAUGUCAUGAGAAGUGAGUAUGUGAACGUUUUGUGCCUGUAAAUGCACAGGAAAGGCAUGUAACAGACACACAGUCACUGCUUGCUGCUGAUCUGAGAACUGCAUGACAAAAUGACAAGUGAAAAUAUCUUCAAUAUCAGUCAUAUUUAUCCCAUUUCCUCCUACAAGAUUAGAAUAAAUAAAGCAGAAGAUUAGUAAACAUUUUCUACUCAUUUCAAGCUUGAAAUAGAAUAGAAUUGAAAUGUUUUGUUGGCAGAUAUGUUGUUUCUAGUUUUAAGAAAUUUUAUAAAUGUAUUUAAUACAAUAAACAUUUAAUAGCUUUAAAUGUAUACAAGCCUCUUAAACAAGCUGAAUAAGAAAUAUUAAACAUAUUUGGCCAUAUUCAAGAUAUUUCCACUUGCUAAUAUAAAAAUUUUUUUGCAGUGAGUAUGGGUUUGUGUAACUGUGUGUAACUGUGUGUAACUGUGUGUGUGUGUGUGUGUGUGUGUGUGUGUGUGUGUAGAAGACACCCAUUAAGGAUGAACAUGGCAAUGUGGACAAGAGCAUUGUCAUAGGCUAUGGUCAGAACUGGAUCACUCUAAAUCAGAGUUACUUAGACAUUGUAUUCUACUUUCAGACAUAUGAUAUGAUGGUGUGUUAAGUAUUAUUUAUUUAUUUAUUUACUUUACAGAGUAAAUAUAUCACUCUUACACUCUCUUUUAAAAUAUUAUUAACAGAAAAAUCAAGAAGUUCAAUGUACAGAUUUGUGUGAACCGGGAUCAGCUAACCUUCCGAUUGGAGAGAAGCAUGAGACAAAUCAGCGUGAUGGAGGUGACGGAGGUUUGUAUCACACGCAGAUAAACUUUGUUAUUUCUUGCAGCAGAUUGUUUUAGGAAUAGACAUAUGGUAUAUUUACAAAAAUGAUAUUUGUUGCCAGCGGUUUAGACAUUAAUGGCUGUGUGUUGAGUUAUUU